AGUUCAUCCACUUUCAUUGUUCAAUAACAAUCAGGGUUCAAAAUAUACUGCAUGUAAUGUGACAGGAGAUUGGGAGGUGAGACUCUCCCUCUAGAUUGGCUCCCUGAGGAUAGGGAUAACCGAAUACAUGGGGCCAAGGAUAGAUUGUACCAAAGGUGGUUCUCCUACAAGUGAGGCAACCUGGCAGUGAGACCCUGCCUCCUGAAGCAAGGCCCAGAUCUCACAGCAGCAGCUGUUGGCAGUGUCUGUCUCCGGCGCCAAAGAAAGACUGGAUGAAGAUGCUCUUGAAAAAGCCCAGGAAAAAAGCUAUACCAUGCCUAAGGGAAACUUCUUGAGCGUCCCAUAAUAAGAAGGAAAAAGACUUCCAUCAGUCAGGAGCUGUGAGGUACUCCUUUGCCACAUAUGCUCUCUAAGCUUGAAACCACUCUCCCUUGAACUUUGCACAUGCAUGUGGGAGAAUGUAUCAAAGACUCUGGGGUGCAAGGUUAUUUUGUAACAACUGUUCUUACUAUACCACUUUAGUAAAUACCCCUUUCUAAAAACUAA